rnacentral:misc_RNA from 1 species
GAAGUGCGAUAAGCAAUGCGAAUUGCAGAAUUCCGCGAGUCAUCAGAUCUUUGAACGCAAAUGGCGCCGGAGGGAUAUCCUUCUGGCAUGUCUGUUUCAGUGUCUGAGAGGUUUCACCAACACCUUAAUGUGAUUGACCCUUGUGGCGAUAUAUCACUAUAUAUUGUCACUGUUGGGUCUCUCAUGAAAGAUGCGCGAGUGGAUCUUUCGGUCCAAUGAAGUGGUCACAUCACUCGAAUGUGAUUUCAUUGGGAGCACCGAAUUAUCCGCCAUACUCGCGGUGACAGCGAUGAUAGGGCAAGAUCACCCGCUGAACUUAA